UAGCCACAAAGAAAGUUCAGUCGCGACCAAACUUGCCAAACAGUGUUUCAAUUCUAUAGGAGUUAACCUGUGGUGCUAAUGCAGUUGAGUUCAUCAUCAACCACGCUGAAGUUUCAAUAGCUUUUGUUCAAGAUAACAAAAUCCCUGCUAUUUGAUCAUGCUUUCCAAACUGUUCUGCGCAUAUAAAAGCAAUUGUCAGCUUCACAAAUGUUUCUAGCACCCAAAGACAGAAGAUCUGGGGGUAUCUUGCUUUUUGUGGGAGGAAUUCUUUUAGUUGAGAAUAUGUCAGAGGCAAUCUUCCAUUACAAUCUUCCUGUUAUGCUAUCUCAGCAGAAAAACCCAUCUAGGGAUUUGCAACCUCCGCCUCCACAGCCACAACUAGCUUCAAAUUUAUCAAGCUGAUAAGCAUCCAUUCUCUACAAGUUGUAUUAGACAUUUACAAGAUUAGAUGUAUCACCUAGAAGUGUCUCUUCUUACAAAAAUGUAGAACAAGAAAAAGGCUGGGAAAGUGUUCUUUUACUGCAUCAGGUUUGUGACAGCUACCUUGGCGUAAGGGCGGUUGAAUCCUCUUUCUGCCACAACAGCUCUCUUAUCUCCUGUCUGCGUAAUUGGCUAAGACCUUCAGAAGCUGAGUUCUUUCAGAUUUGGGAGCUUGUCAUGUUUCGAAAGAAGAUGGACAUCAUAGUUAGAAGAAGAGGAAGAGGAAGAGGAAGAAGUUUUUCCAUCAUCCGUCAUAGCUUCAAUUUGGUUGAAUAAAUUAUAAAAUGCAACAAAAUGCAUGAGUUCCUCUGAUUUUCCCGAGUCCUUGAUGCUUUAUUUUUUGUUGAAACUUGGAAAUUGAGUACCUUAUUAUGAGAGUUGCUAGGUCUGAAGACCACUAAAUGCUGAAGAAUGGAGUGGAUUUAUGUUAUUUUGCAUAUGUAUGGUCAAAUAAUGUUCAAAUGUAGUGUUAUGAACCUUGAUUCCAGGUUGUCAAAUAGCACUGGUAGUAGUAUAUAACUAACUAUAUAUAUCAAGCUCACUGAUUUAGUUUAAUUUUGAGACAUUGAACUGUAAGAGUCGGUAUGACAUAUUAGAAUCUGCUUCUUCUUGGCCCCGUGGCUGGUAUGCUUAAAUAGAUUCAGCUGUGUAUGCUUGAGCUGUUGGUUAAUUUUAUGCAUCUGAUGAUGUUUUUCUGUUUAAAAAGGCAUAUGUAAGAUUUUGGUACAUGCAGAAGUGAUAGGUGUAUUGUUUUGUUGUGUUACUAAAUUGUCCUUGCAAUUCCAUAGAAGUGGUCAUUAUAUGUGUACAUUAAAGUUUUGUUAUGCCUGCAGAUUUAAGUUUGUCUUUUUGGAAUAAACAAUACUGUUGAAUGCAGAAGAGCAUGUAUAGCGUUUAUGUAGAGCUGGAUGAAAUUAAAGCAUUCAAGCUCAGGACUGAAUACAAUAGCAAAGAAGAACUAUCUGAUAAACUUGAUGAAAGCAAACUGAGCAGCUCGGCAAGGUCCAGGAGGCAAGUUUGAACAACCUUGUUGUAAGUACAUUGGCCUAUUACCAUUCAACAUAUGAUUUCCCACUACGACGAGGAAACCGGAGCUUCAAGGAAGCAAAGAGAAAGAUCACAAGAUCGGUUCUUGAAGACAAGAUCAAGUCAAAUCGAGUCACUGAUCUUGAGUUUAAUGUGUAUUCAUUCCAUAUUGGUUGGUAUAAAUCUAAAUUGAUAUGCAUAUCGGUUGUAUUAAGUCAAUAAUCCCUUAUGCAUUAAAAUGGUUUUUAACAUGCA